rnacentral:pre_miRNA from 1 species
AUGACUCCAAGGGUCCCCCCAAACACUUCAGUAGAAAGUAGAGAGAGAGAGAGGCAUAAUUAAGAUAAUGCAUGCCCAUAAUAAUCUCCAAUGAAGUGUUUGAAGGAACUCUGGGGGCCAU